rnacentral:rRNA from 1 species
GACGAACGCUGGCGGCGUGCUUAACACAUGCAAGUCGAACGGAAAGGCCCUGCUUUUGUGGGGUGCUCGAGUGGCGAACGGGUGAGUAACACGUGAGUAACCUGCCCUUGACUUUGGGAUAACUUCAGGAAACUGGGGCUAAUACCGGAUAGGAGCUCCUGCUGCAUGGUGGGGGUUGGAAAGUUUCGGCGGUUGGGGAUGGACUCGCGGCUUAUCAGCUUGUUGGUGGGGUAGUGGCUUACCAAGGCUUUGACGGGUAGCCGGCCUGAGGGGGUGACCGGCCACAUUGGGACUGAGAUACGGCCCAGACUCCUACGGGAGGCAGCAGUGGGGAAUAUUGCACAAUGGGGGGAAGCCGGAUGCAGCAACGCCGCGUGCGGGAUGACGGCCUUCGGGUUGUAAACCGCUUUCGCCUGUGACGAAGCGUGAGUGACGGUAAUGGGUAAAGAAGCAACGGCUAACUACGUG